rnacentral:rRNA from 1 species
GAGUUAUCUUACAGCCUGUUAUGGUAUAACUUAGUGGCCGACGGGUGAGUAAUGUAUAGGAAUCUACCUAGUAGUACUGAAUAAUUGUUGGAAACGGCAACUAAUACCGUAUACGCCCUACGGGGGAAAAAUUUAUUGCUAUUAGAUGAGCCUAUAUUAGAUUAGCUAGUUGGUGGGGUAAUAGCCUACCAAGGCAAUGAUCUAUAGCUGAUCUGAGAGGAUGAUCAGCCACACUGGAACUGAGAUACGGUCCAGACUUCUACGGGAGGCAGCAGUGGGGAAUAUUGGACAAUGGGCGAAAGCCUGAUCCAGCCAUGUCGCAUGAGUGAAGAAGGCCUUUGGGUUGUAAAGCUCUUUUAGUGAGGAAGAUAAUGACGGUACUCACAGAAGAAGUCCUGGCUAACUCCGUGCCAGCAGCCGCGGUAAUACGGAGAGGGCUAGCGUUAUUCGGAAUUAUUGGGCGUAAAGGGCGCGUAGGCUGAUUAAUAAGUUAAAAGUGAAAUCCCGAGGCUUAACCUUGGAAUUGCUUUUAAAACUAUUAAUCUAGAGAUUGAAAGAGGAUAGAGGAAUUCCUGAUGUAGAGGUAAAAUUCGUAAAUAUUAGGAGGAACACCAGUGGCGAAGGCGUCUAUCUGGUUCAAAUCUGACGCUGAGGCGCGAAGGCGUGGGGAGCAAACAGGAUU